rnacentral:lncRNA from 1 species
AAGGAUUGAUUGUUGUGGAUACUGUCGAAGGAAUAUGUGAUGACUAAUCGAAACUUGAAUUGGUUGUGUUAUCUGAUGAAGAUGGCGGCUGGAAUUAAAUGUGAAGUGCAAUUAGGGUUUUUGACGAUUGAAGAAGAUGAAAAAGGGGCUUCAUGUGGGUCAGGUUGAUUGUACUUGUGAGGCCUAGGCUUGGUUUACCCUAACGUGUCCGAGCCUAGAAGGAUUUGUUUAACGGGCUUAGUAAUUAAUUUGGAAGAAGAAAAUGAAAUUAAAAUGAAAGGGUAAAAA